rnacentral:lncRNA from 1 species
GUCUGCAGGUGACCGAGCCAGCCCUGCACCUCAGGUGGCUGAGCUGUCUGGCACAUGCAAAGGUCCUGAGGUGCCUCUGAAGAACUAGCAGAUGUUGCAUGUUGUGAGAUUGGAGAAGGCGCAGAGGUGAGAAAGGCCAGAGAUCGGGGUGAGCGGGCAUGGAAACUAUCCCGGGACCCACGGGCCGCCCCUGGAGGCUUCAGAGCCAAGCAUGAUGAGGUCAGAUUCGUGUUUUGGCAAAUAUCUCUUGAGUGGCUGCUGGGAGGGUCAGUGAGGAGGGCAGGGAGGAAGGGAGGUCAGCAGGAGGUUGUUGGUGUAAUCCACAGGGUGGCCCGGCUGUGGGCUGGGAGGUCCCGCGCUGGAGAAAGUGGGGGGAGGUGGGCGGCAGAGAACUCUCGGGGGCUGCUGGGAAGACACUGGGACAUCCGGGUGCUCCUCAAAGCCAGCGCUCGCGGACUUGCGGACUUGGGUUUCUUGGGUUUCG